rnacentral:tRNA from 1 species
GAGUAUAGCUUAAUGGUACAGCACUUGCCUAACAUGUUCAAGGUCUUGGGUUCUAUUCCCAAUACUC